CUUAACACAUGCAAGUCGAGGGGCAGCAUGGUCUUAGCUUGCUAAGGCCGAUGGCGACCGGCGCACGGGUGAGUAACACGUAUCCAACCUGCCGUCUACUCUUGGACAGCCUUCUGAAAGGAAGAUUAAUACAAGAUGGCAUCAUGAGUCCGCAUGUUCACAUGAUUAAAGGUAUUCCGGUAGACGAUGGGGAUGCGUUCCAUUAGAUAGUAGGCGGGGUAACGGCCCACCUAGUCUUCGAUGGAUAGGGGUUCUGAGAGGAAGGUCCCCCACAUUGGAACUGAGACACGGUCCAAACUCCUACGGGAGGCAGCAGUGAGGAAUAUUGGUCAAUGGGCGAGAGCCUGAACCAGCCAAGUAGCGUGAAGGAUGACUGCCCUAUGGGUUGUAAACUUCUUUUAUAAAGGAAUAAAGUCGGGUAUGCAUACCCGUUUGCAUGUACUUUAUGAAUAAGGAUCGGCUAACUCCGUGCCAGCAGCCGCGGUAAUACGGAGGAUCCGAGCGUUAUCCGGAUUUAUUGGGUUUAAAGGGAGCGUAGAUGGAUGUUUAAGUCAGUUGUGAAAGUUUGCGGCUCAACCGUAAAAUUGCAGUUGAUACUGGAUAUCUUGAGUGCAGUUGAGGCAGGCGGAAUUCGUGGUGUAGCGGUGAAAUGCUUAGAUAUCACGAAGAACUCCGAUUGCGAAGGCAGCCUGCUAAGCUGCAACUGACAUUGAGGCUCGAAAGUGUGGGUAUCAAACAGGAUUAGAUACCCUGGUAGUCCACACGGUAAACGAUGAAUACUCGCUGUUUGCGAUAUACGGCAAGCGGCCAAGCGAAAGCGUUAAGUAUUCCACCUGGGGAGUACGCCGGCAACGGUGAAACUCAAAGGAAUUGACGGGGGCCCGCACAAGCGGAGGAACAUGUGGUUUAAUUCGAUGAUACGCGAGGAACCUUACCCGGGCUUAAAUUGCAGAUGAAUUACGGUGAAAGCCGUAAGCCGCAAGGCAUCUGUGAAGGUGCUGCAUGGUUGUCGUCAGCUCGUGCCGUGAGGUGUCGGCUUAAGUGCCAUAACGAGCGCAACCCUUGUUGUCAGUUACUAACAGGUUCCGCUGAGGACUCUGACAAGACUGCCAUCGUAAGAUGUGAGGAAGGUGGGGAUGACGUCAAAUCAGCACGGCCCUUACGUCCGGGGCUACACACGUGUUACAAUGGGGGGUACAGAGGGCCGCUACCACGCGAGUGGAUGCCAAUCCCCAAAACCUCUCUCAGUUCGGACUGGAGUCUGCAACCCGACUCCACGAAGCUGGAUUCGCUAGUAAUCGCGCAUCAGCCACGGCGCGGUGAAUACGUUCCCGGGCCUUGUACACACCGCCCGUCAAGCCAUGGGAGCCGGGGGUACCUGAAGUGCGUAACCGCGAGGAGCGCCCUAGGGUAAAACUGGUGACUGGGGCUAAGUAA
rnacentral:rRNA from 1 species